GGAAGAGCAAGCCAAUUUGGUGGUGGCCACGGUCUUGAAAACCGUUCGGAGUUAACGACUCGUGUGGGUUCGAAUCCCACCUCUUCCGCAA
rnacentral:sRNA from 1 species